CAAAGCUGCAUAGAGGUGGUCGGUGAAGGUCUUGCGAGUUGUCUUCACCUCUAAAGCUCAAGAACACAUGGGAAUUGCAUCGAGGUGUGAAAGAGAGGGCCUCUUGAUAUCUCGCAAUAGCCAUUGAACAAACCCUUAUGAUAUAACUGAAGGGAUACUACAAUUUGUCAAAUAUUUGAGGAUGUAUCAGAUAGUCACUAUGAACUACAAACUAUGAAAUCAUCAACCCAGAUCAAAAUUAGUUACCAACACUCAAAGCCGCACACACACAUCAGCUUAUUGAAGAACCAAUACACACUAUAUUAUACUUAUAUAAGGAUUAAAAAAUAGUGUUCCCAACAUUCGAUUAUAUUUGUCUUUUUUAAGAGUUUCCAACUUUCUAAAGGUAAAGUAGUUAUUGCAUUGGAACUCAAAUUCAAAUACUUGUAUAUGAUUACCAACGCUGCCCCUUUAUUUCAAAUAUAUUACAAAUCUCAUGCUUUGAUGUUUUAAAGUGGGCAACCAUUUUGGAAUAUCUUUAAAUAAAAAGAUAAACAAAAAAAACAAGGACAAUAGGGAGUAAUUAAGAAUCUGUAGCAAAACCAUCUAAUUCUAAUCCAUGCAAAUGCAACAAUACUACAUACCCAUAAAAAUUAGCCAUAAGAAAUGUAAAUGCACAUUUUUCAUGGAUGUAACGUUAAACGCAUCCAUGAAUAGAUAGUGAAGCAACUUCUAUUUUUUUUAUUGUUAAUUUCUAAUUUUCUGAUGGGAAACAAUUCAUCUGCAUAUUUAGCUUUCCUAUUUUCAAGCACAAAAUUAGUAUAGUCAAUAGAUUUAAUUGUCCUUAUAUAAUGGAAUACCGUAUCACCUAUAUAUAUAAUAAGUGUAAUACCCUAUUUUUAUAAAUAGAUAAAUAUUUAUUUUAAAGUUCGAUUAAAAUUUUCUACAACUCGGGUAUAUAUAUUUUUUAUACUGGGUAGGUAGUAUAGGGUCAUUUUGUAUAAAUUCGGUACCUAGGGGUUACUGUUUUUCAAUUUAAAUUAAAUCUUGUAUUUUUAGACUGUGGGUAAUUACGCGUGUGAGAGAUAGUCAAAUGGGGGUGUGGGUUGGUUAUCUUCGAUUAGCAUAUCCAGAGUAACAAAUUUGGGGUUAUUGAUCAGAGAAAGAGAGAGAGGAGAAGAAGAAGAAGAAGGAGAAGAAGAAGAGGGAAACCAUGGAGAUAAAUUGACGGAAUUGUUGUGCCCAAAACUUAACAGAAACCACACACACAGAGACAGAUAUUUACGAAGUUUGUUAAAUUGCCUGCGUCCUCGGGUGGUAGCAAUUCUAAUAUAUAGAGAAAGAUUUCCAAAUUAAAGUUUCUCACUCUCUCUCUCUCUCAAGUCUAAUAUAUAGAGAAAGAUUUCUAGAUUACAAGUUUCUCAUUCUCUCUCUCUCAUGUUUUCUGAUUUACUCUCACCUACCCGCACCAUUCUAAAGUCUAUACAUGAGGUCAAACUCUUGGAAUCCAAACAUGAAGUUAAAGCCAAUUUUCAACGAUCACCUUGGCGAAAAUUUCUCCCAACCAUAGUAAUACUGUCACCAAUGCCCUUUUAAGCAUUUUAGAUUUAGCAUUGGUCAUCGUAGUCCUGUGCUCAAAGAUGGUAAAAGUACCAGUAGUCUUCGAAGAUUCUACCAUCUUAACAAUUUCGGCUCCACCAAAACUAAUAUGGAGUCAAAAUCCACAAAUUCGAAUCUCGCAGAUAGAUCCAAAGUACAGGAAAACCUUGGAGAGGGUCUAAACUAAAAAAUUCAAAAAGUUUAGGGAACAAACUAUAAUUAUCAAAAUUUCAAAGAUCCAACUGUAAUUUUAACAAACUUUUGGGACCAAAACUUAAUUUUUCCAAAAAUUAGGGACUUAAAAAAUAAAAAUUUCAAACUUCAAGGACCACUAUGUAAUUUCCCAAAUUGAGAGAAUAUUCUUGGAAUAUUCUAUUUGUUGACUAGGCACUAAUUGGAUCGUUUAUGUGGCACUAAUGUGGUGAUAAUUGGAUGCUGACUAAGCGCUGGUUGAUGUUGAUGGGCCCUUGACUUAAUACUGACAGAGUGCUGACGAGGCAUUAACGAAGCAUGUGCAGCUCGUGGACUACUUAGAGUGUAGCACGUGGGCGUGAGUAGAUUUCAUGCGCCGAUUGCUAGGUGGCGUGCGGGUGUGUGUGUGUGUGCGAGGUUUGGGUCGCAGUUUGAACUAGGAGAUUCGUCUCAUCGAGACGAACAUGAUGGUGUUCUCAAAAAAUAUUUUAAAACACUUGUAAUAAACUGAGACUCUAUCUGACUCUGAUAUUAUGCUCAUAAUUAACAAAAACCACACACAGAAACAUUUACACACACAAAGACAGACAAGGUUCGACAAAUUGCCUACUUCUUCGGGUGGUAGCGAUGUCAGUAUAUAGAGAAAAAUUUACAAAUUACAAGUUUUUGACUCUCUCUCAAGCUUUCUGAUUUACUCUCACUUACCCACACCAUUAUAUAGCCUAUAUGUAAGGUAUAUAUAGGAUGAGAUAUACAUAUUUCAGAAAGCCAUAGCGACUUUCUUGGAGCUCAAAAGCUCCAUCGGAAGGGAGCUACAUUGGAAAUGAUUGUUCUUGAAAAUGGAUGAAUCAAACUCUUGAAACCAAAACAUGAAGUUAAAGCCAAUUUCCAACGGUAAUUAAAUGCUAAAUGCAAUAUGUAAUAUUAUUAACUAGAAAAUGAGCAAGUUUGCAAAAAUUUAUUUGUGGGUAGUAGAUCAACUUGCACCAAAUAAGUUUAAAAAUGACAAAAUUUCAGGUCUAGUAUUUUAAUGUAACAAUAAACCAAUCAUAAUCUCUUUCUGAGAUUUGAAAUAUGAUUGGGAUCCGCUAGCUUUAGUUGACAAGUUGAUGGAGAACUUGUAGUCGCCCGUUACAUGGACGGCUUCUAUGGUUGCUGAUUCGAUUUGGGCCUGAAUGGACAUUGGUGGAAUGGGUUAAAAAGAUCCAUAUUUGAUGUAAAAUGAUAGAUGAUCAAUACUCAUCGCUUUACUAUAACUAGCGAUGAAUUUCGGCAAUAUUUUGUCGUUUAGACGGAAAAAAUUGUCAUUUUUUGAAAUAUUUGACAGGUGAAUAACUCAUGAUUUAAUUCCGAUUUAUGCGGGAUUUGUGGGAGAGUUUUUUUUAUCCUUAUAGUUUCUAGAUUUGAGUUUAACUCAAAUCUUUCAGUAUUUUUUCUUUUUUGGUAAAUUUUAAUUUUCCUAAAUAAUUGCUUGAUUAACAAGCAAUUACCUAUCUUUAUUUCUUUACUAAGCUCAGUUAGGGUUUAUUAGCACUGUAAAUACAAUGUAAUGCCUCUUGGCUAAUUAAUUGAGUUUGACUAAUAAUAGUGAGUUGAGAGAGCAUAUUUUCUUUUUCAUAUUUUUUUGAUAUUCAUAGGAUUCGACAGAAUUAUAAAAUGGAUUGUUAUUUUUUCUUGCUUUCAAAUCUAUUCUUCACAACGUUUCACGCUGCAUCACAAGUCAAAAUAGUUAAAAUGUACAUUCUUAUACUCUAGUCUCUAGAGAAGCAACAUCUAUUUCCUAGCUAAUGCAUCUAGUUGCAUCACUACCACUCAUUGUUUUUUUGUCUUUUAAGUUAUAUUAAUUGUGCAUGUUUUGGGGAUCAUAUAAGUUGAAAAACCCAAAUAAGUACACCAUGUAAGCCUUAACCAAUAAUAUCUCCACUUUGCACUCUCAAUUAUAUAAACCUUGCAAUCAACCUUGACAUCCAACAUUUAUCUAUAAAAUAGACAAAAAAUUCCAGUUAAGUUAUCACGUGUUGACCCGACUCAGAUCCAGGGGCAAUCCAUGUUAACACCAUAAAAAAAAUCCAAGUUUGAAUUGUGUUCUACCUUGUUCUCUCUCCGUUUAUUGUUUGACAAAAAAUAUUGAAUUUGCAUAUUUUUUAUGAUAUUAACAUGGGUGGUCCAAUCAACAUGUGGUGUGGCAAUUUUAGUCCACUUUGUAGAUGGACGUUGGAUGUUGGGAUUGAUUACAACGGUUUAUAUAGUUGCGUGUACAAAUUAAAAAACAUAUUAAUUAGGAAAAAAAUGAGAAUUGUUCAAUACUUUGAGGGGACAAAUUGCAGUUUUCCCAGCUCUAGAAAUACCAUUGGAGGAGUACCACGGAAAUCACACAUCAAACUUUUACAGCUCUAGAAAUACCAUUGGAGAAGAAGGAUCCCGGAAAUCACACAUCAAACUUUUUAUUGUCUAAAAAAAUUUGCUUUUUCAAUCUUUUUAAGAAGAUUUGGGCUCGAUGUCCAUGGUGCCCAAUUCUUAAUUGAGUAUUCCUAUUCAAAAUAAAAAUUUAAGCUCAAAUCGAUUAUAUGCUAAACUUUAAUUGCUUACCAUGUAAGCCCCGUCAACUACCAACCAAUCAGCAUGAAUAAACAUUGAACCGCGUAUCAAAAAUCUUGAUGCCAAAAUUUUAUUUUGCCAAUUCAGACAAUACUCUUAUUACUCUUAUAUGCAUCUUUCCCUAUUCUGUCACCAUACCCUCCAACCACCUCACCACCACUACUAGGCCAUCACCUUCAGCGGUUGAUUGUUAUUUUCCGGUCAACCAUUGACAAUUUUUUGGACGGGCCACCGACUUAUUUUCUGGUUAUCGCUAACUUUUUUUAUGGCAGCACGAUUUGUUCAAAUACUUUCCAAAAACUUUCUAGCAACGGUUUUUCACGUGACUACCCUUAGCAACUUUUUCUAGAUAAGUGGCUUGCUGUUAGACCGGUAGCUUUCCAACAUGUACCGGCAGACAGACAACACUAGAUCGAGAUAGUUAAAUUCUAUAAGCAGAGAAUUUCAUUGUUCAUUCAUCAAUCACAUAUACCAUUAAAAAAAUUUUAAUUUAACAAGAAAACAAAAUUUGUGUACAUGAAAGGGGUAGGUGUAGAACCUGGUACUUAAGCUAGGGAUAUAACCCUGGACUCCUCCCAACUUCAAUUAACUCCUAAAGUUGUUGCAAGUACGCUACAGUGUUCCAUGUAAGAAGCAAGUAAUUGUUAGUAACGCAAAUAUAUAAAGGAGGAGCUAGUUGCACCACUCAAGAAUGGAGUCAAGAGGUGGCGGCUGGAGGCGACCGUCUGAAAUAUUCAAAUUGUAUAUAUUUGACACCUUGAUAUUGAAAUUAAGAUUGCAUUUUCUACAUAUACAUGUUACAAAUUUUAUAUUUUGUAUGUAUAUUUAUCUUUCCAAAUGUCAAAAUCAUGCUUCGGUCCCUAGCACCACUUGUUGAAGUAUGACAAAUCCUUGUCCCCUUGACACUUCAUAGUUUAAAUUUCAAAUGCUUUGAACAUGGCAUUGGAAAACACGUAGUAAUUGACACGGCAUUGGAAAAA
rnacentral:lncRNA from 1 species